GGGGGUGUAGCUUAGUGGUAGAGUGCUUGCCUAGCAUGUGAAAAGCCCUGGGUUCAAGCCCUAGCACCACAA
rnacentral:tRNA from 1 species